GUACUACUGGAAGUUCUUCUUAAAAGGGAGGAGAUGAGAUUUUUUUUUCCACUUCCUCCACCCCACUGCCUAGAUUAUGUUGCAAUGUUGCAGUUGUAAUGGGAAGAUACUAGCAGAAGUAGGAGAAAAGGCCUGUGGAAUAUGUCCAUAUUUGCAUUUGAGAAACAACACUGGCUGCUCUCUGAAGAGACUAUGCGGAGCAGAAACAAAGCAAGCUGGUGCAUGAUCACCUAUCUCAGCUUUCAAGAGAGUCUGAACAUUAUUUCCCAACCACAAAAGACCCACCUCCACAACUGGGAAGGAAUGGAUCUGCAACCCAUUUGUGAAUAAGCCAGGUGAAUUGACUUUGUCUGUGCUGGAAGAGGAUCAACUGCUUGAAAUCGCAAAUCGAGGUGGCCUUAAAAGUAUGUUUGAGACAACUUCAAGUCUUUACACAUUCUGGAUUAAAGUCAAGGCAAAAUAUACUGAGAUUGCCACGAAAGCACUGAAAAACCUGCUUCUAUUUCCAACAUCCUAUCUUUGUGAAGCAGGGUUUUCUGCAGUGACAGCAACCAAAAUAAGAUUACAGAGUAGACUGGACAUAAGCAACACACUUGGGGUGUAAAAAAUUCCAGGGUUCCCACUGAUUCUAUGUUACGGUGAGUUGUGUAACUAUUUUAUUAUGUAUUACCAUGUGAUAAUAAUAGAAAUAAAAUGCACAAUACAUGUAAUGUGCUUGAAUAUUCCUGAACCCACCACCCCCAAACCCAGCCGUUGGAAAAAUUGUCUUCCAUGAAAUCAGUACUUGGUGCCAAAAAGGUUAGGGACCGCCGCAUUACAGAAUGUCAUAAUUGCUGCCUUUUAUGACGAAAAUGCUGUGUCUCAGUAGCUAAGACAGGCACAUUGAUCAACAACUACAAAAUCUAAGUGUAUUUAAUAUUAAGGUCUUUUAGAUAACUUAAUAGGCUUUUGAAACAACAGAGAAGCCCUCACUUUGCAGAUGUGUAAGUAACUUUUCCAUAAAGUUAAAUGAAACCAUUAAAAUAUUUUCAAUUAUUGGUAAUACAUCCAAAUAGUAUGAAUGGGGAAAAUAGGAUUAGUGUUAUCUGAUUGCCACUAGGGGGAGGAAAAAUCAGCAAAUGAGCAGCAAAUAUGAACUGGAAGAAAAUGCUCCAAAAAGUUGGCGUGGCAUAUGUAUUUUGGUUAACAUUUGUGAAGUAUAAGUAGUGCAUUACACAAUUAAAGAAACAUUUUUUAUUUUUUUACUUUUCUAUAUAUUCUACAUUAAAAAUAUGUUCUAAUUAUACACACACAUUUAAAAGAAAAAAGUCAAAAGACAUAUAAAUAUCAUGGGAACAUGGAACUUUAGAAUGAGUCAGGACAAGUCUUAGAUAACUUUGCUCAGCCUCUCUCCUUCGUGUGACAUCCCUAGUAGAACAAGGUACACCUACCUCUACUUGGAAACUUCUGGUGAUGGGGAUCUUGUUUUUUUUUUUUUUUUUUUUUUCAGUCUAACUCACUCUAGUAUUGAUCAUCACUGAGUCAGAAACUUCUCCCCAAAAUGGACUACAACAUGGCUACAUUUUAUAUUCACUUGUGGCACAGUGUUACCAUAUAUUGAACUACAGGUUGUGCACUGCACAGCUUCAUAGAUUACAAUAUGCAUAGCACACCCUGAAGAUCAGCAGUGUCACAGGGUCAAGAUUCCUUUCAUGGCCUAUAUCAUUGUCCAAGUUGUAUAUAUUCUUUCUUUGUCUUCCUUUUUCUCUUCCUCUUCUUCCUUUUUUCCUUUCUUUUAGCAUUACUUGACCUCUUUAGAGGGAAGAUGUGGCUCAAAAUAUUGCUUUGGGUUAAUGUUCUUUGUCUUACAUUUUUCCUGGAAAAAAAUUAAUCAGUGGUUUUUUCUUGAUUUUCCACAUUUACGAAGUUUGCUUUUAGACUGCAAAGUAACUCACAGCACAGUUUCAGAUGACUUUUAUUGACUCAUGAUCAAGGGAACCCUCAACACACAAAAGAAAUUGAGCAU
rnacentral:lncRNA from 1 species